rnacentral:lncRNA from 1 species
GUAGUCUCUAUGAUUUAUGUUUUCAGCCAUAUGAAGUAUGAGCUCACCCCAGGCCAGCAGCAGAGGAUCCACGCUCUGCCAAAUGCGGUUGGUUCGAUGCAAAAUUACAUUGGAUCUGUAAUCAAUGCUGGCGCUCUGAAUGCACCAGCAUUCACACAUGCACGCACAGGCUUCAUUCUCCCUUGCAGUGGGUAUGAAACUCUGCAUCUAGUCCACAUCUGGUUUAUAUCAUAGCCAGACCACCACCAUCCAUAUCUAUCAUGAGACGCACACAUACUGUAUAUACACACACACACUUCAAUCUCACUCAUUUUUAAUACCUCGUCAUGGGUGAAACACAGAAGCACUAUGUUGUACUUCAUCCUAACCGUCUUCACAUUAAUCCUCGGCGCUUAAACACACAGCAUCUCGCUUUGCCGUUCAAUGACGUCAGCAUUUAAGUGCAGACACACAUGCUAAUAGUGUCUGCAUGUGAGCGUGCAUGCAAACACUUAGUACUUUAAUUGCCUGCUUUGUGUUUUAUUGUAAAUGCUGGUGCUGGAGCUGGUGGGGGUCAGCGGCCUGCAGAAAAAAUAUGAGGUGUGUUAAGAUGAACACACUCUCACAAUGAGCCCCUUGUUUCCUCGGCAAUGUGUUCUCAGUUGCAAAGCAAUUAAAGACUAGUUUACUGGCGAGGGCUGCUCUUUUCUCUGCCCGUGACGCAAUCCUCCAGGUUUGCCCCGCUGAAGGCUGAGUGACGGGCAUGCACACACGCUGGCGAGCGAAAACACAGGCACAUGCGUGGAGAGAAUACACGUGGACUCAUUCAUACGCACAUUAUUUAAGCUUAGCCAGAGUUGGCAGAAGGUAAACACGCUACGUUAUUGCAGGACAAGGCGUGCACUGUAUGAGGCUCUUACUCAAGCACCCCUUACAAUAACCAUGCAUCUAUGAUUGACAGGAAACUUACUAUGAAGUCACACUCAUUAAUGUCUUGAUUUAUUGACACAGACCCCCAAAUUUAUACUUUAUUUAUGCAGCAAAAAACAGAAAUGCAAGAGUGUAGUAGUUCUUAAUUGCAGUUUCAACGUCUGCCUAUUUGACCUUUUUCCAAAGAUAAAGAAAAAAGAAAACAGCAAAAGAUUACGCUUACCAAGUCAAACUUCUCCCCCACUUCCUCUUCCUGAAAGACCUCAUUGUUCAUAUUUUUCUUUCAUUUCACUCUGCCCCGUGGGAUAAAAAACUCCUCUUGUGUUUCUCUUUUUUACACACAGUCUGAAAAGACAAAAAUAUGCACCCUGAAGUUGUGGUUGAAUAUUAAUAAAAUAAACCACGGAGCUUUCAAUAUUUAAGGCCUUACUGCGCUCCUCCUUCAAUGAUUAUUUACCGUGCGCUGAUGAAAUGACUCAUAAGUUUACACUGCAGCGAAAUAUCAGUCUAUAAGAACUAUGGAUCAUAUUAAUCGCCAUUCUUAAACAAUCAAAGAUUAAAUAGUGCUCACUGUUACAACAAAAGCAAAUCUCUGUGUUUGGGUAUGAGUAUGAGGCCAAAUAUUAUCACUUCUCCAUCUUCUGGUGUCCACAGCUUGGACUUGUAUGUACAGUAAAGGCUGAGACUACAGCACCAAAGCCAGUGUGUCUUAUGAUAGCACUGCAGGGUGUGUGAAUGGGCAUAACUUUCUCCAUAUGUGUGAGAAAUGGUCUUUACUAUUAUUUUCACUCUCUGAAGCAUCUCCAGCAGCAAAAAAAAAAGCAGGACUGAUUUUAUUUGAAGAGACUUGAAACAGAGUUCCACAGCAUUUGGCCCACUCAGGGUCAACGGGUUCAGCUUACUGUGGCUUAAGUGGGUGAUGGGGUGGAAGAAAUCUUGGUCAUAAUUUUUUUUUCGCUCUUUAUUUUUAUAGUUUGGGAUGAGAAGUUGGAAAAAGUGAGUACGGCUGUUCUCUCCCAUCACUUCAGAUCAGGUUAUCACACACGAAAAGGACAAUAAAUCAGUGUAGUAAAUUAUCCGUGCUUAACUUUCCUGCUUCUGUUAUCUUUUGGUAGAGGCUGAAACUCACAAUAGCAGCCUUGUGUUCUUGUGUUUGUUUUCUUUUUCCUCUGGCUUGAGGUGAAAACAACAGGAACGAGCCAAUCACUCUUACAACUUUGUGACGAUAUGUUUUUCCCACACACAUCAGGGGGUUGUUAAUGGUUCACGUGAGGCCAACACUUAAAGGGGUCAUAAACUCACAAUACUAAAGCCAUUAUUGCCUUUCCCUGCAAAUAUCCUCAAAUAUCAGUCAUCUGGCAGAGAAACUCGUCGGGUUUCAUUCCUCAAUCACUUCUUCUCCUUUGUUUCCAAAUGCACAUGGUGCAACACUGACAGUAAUCUCCCUCUCUGCUCCCUCCCCCUGCCCCUUUCUCCUUCAUCGCUCCAUCAUAAUGAAGGAAUUUAAUUCUCGAGGCCGACCAGUUUAGUUAUCCAGCCCCCAGCUUGGCUCCCUCUCUAAGCUGAUUCUGCGCUGGGUUAACUACAAUUGGUGCUGGUGUCACCACUCUCUGAAACACUCGGACACAGUCCAAAACAGCUCUUUACAAUAAAACCAGGCACUGGGAAUUACAAUAAGCUUUCACUCACUCCAAAGUAUCAAUGACCGGUGCCAACUGGUUCCUCCUGGCUCGUCUGUGUGAAAAACCCUCGAGUGAAAAGGUCUUUGGAGUGUCAGUCAAAAACAACUAAACUCUAAACACCCAGCCACUUAUUUCUUGCGCCCAGAGACAAGAGGAGCUUGAAUUGUUUAUGCUUUAUUGUCUCAUGGUGUAGUAGCAAGAGAAGCAAGUUCAGAAACCGAGGACUCAAAUAGGCCUACUCGGAGAAUAAAAACAUAACACUACAUGUGUGCGUUCCAGUUACCUCGGAAGUCGGAUGUUGGAGCUGGGAAUGACGUUACACCCAAGUUGACGGUGUUCCAGUAAACAAGUCGGAAAACAAAGAUGAACGCCCAGUGUUAGCCGUUGUUUGGUGUUGUUUACAAUUGUCAGCUGUUGUUAGUUAUUGUUAGCUGUACUAGUUGUAAACAACACAUAACACAGUGUUUUACUCUUACAAACACCAUAGCACCAUGUUCACAGGUAGACGUUGGGCGGUUCAACAUAUACCACUCAUUUAAUUUCUCAAAAACAAAACAAAAGUGCUAAUAAAUAAUACAUUAUGAGAGCUUUCACUGUUACUCUUUACUGUUGAUGCACUGCACUGCCAUCUUGGAUAACGACUUUGUUGUCCCAUUUUCCGAGUCAGAAAUCCAACUUCAGGGGGGCGUUCCAGAUGAAUUUCCGACUUGGAGCUCGGAAAUCCCGACUUCUGAGUAUAACUGGAGCGCAGCAAUACUUAACAAACCAAUGAUGACUGAAGUAGUGAUUUUUUUUUCAACACUGCAUUUGGUGCAUCAUACUUGCAUGUAAAACCCUUGGCAACCUUUGCCAUCACCAGGCAGUGAAAAGUGCUUUGAGCAGUCAGAAGAUUAGACACGCUCUGAACAGGUGCAGCCCAUUUACCAUCUUAAACUUUGAACUGGAGCGG